GAUGAAGAACGUAGCGAAAUGCGAUAAGUAAUGUGAAUUGCAGAAUUCAGUGAAUCAUCGAAUCUUUGAACGCACAUUGCGCCCGCCAGUAUUCUGGCGGGCAUGCCUGUCUGAGCGUCAUUUCAACCAUCAAGCCCCCGGCUUGUGUUGGGGACCUGCGGCUGCCGCAGGCCCUGAAAAGCAGUGGCGGGCUCGCUGUCACACCGAGCGUAGUAGCAUACAUCUCGCUCUGGGCGUGCUGCGGGUUCCGGCCGUUAAACCACCUUCAUAACCCAAGGUUGACCUCGGAUCAGGUAGGAAGACCCGCUGAACUUAAGCAUAUCAAUAAGCGGAGGA
rnacentral:misc_RNA from 1 species